AUUUCUGGGUGUGUCUGUGAGGGUGUUUCUGGAAGACAUUAAGAUUUUCAUCAGUCGUCUGAGUAAAGAAGAUCUACCCUCCCCAAUGCAGACAUCAGCACUCUUGGUUCUCCAGCCUUUGGACUCAGAUCAGGACUUGCACCAUUGGCUCCCUUGGUUCUCAGGCCUUCAGGCUUGGACUGGAACAACAUCACCAUCUUUCCUGGACUUCUAGCAUUGGAGACAGCAGAUCAUGAGACUUCUCAGCUUUCAUAAUCAUCUGGCACUGAGUCAUGGACAUCUCUUGAGACAACUGGCACGUGCUCCAAGACUGGGGGCAAAAGAAAGCCCUAUCGCUAGAAGCAGAAGUUUGAGCUAGGACUCCACACUGCCAACGCUAGAACUGGCCCCCUGCUGCUUCUGGUGAAAAUAGAAGGAAUGAAAUAAUAAAAACAAGAUCGGACAAUAAUGAGAAAAAAGAAACAUGAUACAACCGAAUACAAAAGGGCUGGUUCUUAGAAAAGAUUAAUACAAUAGAUAAGACUGAUCAAGAAAAAGCAAUAUUAGUCACUGCUAAAUUUGACUGGCUUAAAAAAAAGAAAAAGCAGUAUUAGUGAUAAAAGAGGGGACAUAAGAACACAAGCAGGGUAGAAAUGUAAAAAUAAUAAAGAAUACCAUAAACAAAA